UUUUUCUGUAUAUUUGUUUAUUUAAAAAAGUAUAGGAAAUGAACAAAAUGCUGCCUAAAAAGUAUCUACAACAAAUAAAUUAUUUUGAGUUAAGCAUUGCAGAUCCCACGAAUCUGUCCUAACCCUCACCAAGGUUAUGUCCCAUAGACUUCUGCUUUUCCCCCUGGCUCUUCCUUGAGACCAACUUUAAAGGGAAGAGCCAAGGGUAUAUCGGUCUGGCCCCUUCAAGGAGGCAUGUUUUUGGAGAUUGACUUGAGGUCUCAGGAGAUAGUAACGUGGCCUGGAGUUUUGAGCUCUUGGUUAAAAGGGAAUGGCCACGUGGGGCCCCUGCAGGUAAAGAUGAUGUGUGUGAGGACAGCCACGCUUUGGGGGUGGAAUUCCGAGCGCUGAGUGACCCUCAGAAGAGGCCAAGAGGUCGGAGAAGGCAGAGAAUGGAGGAGCGGGGCCCCAGUGAUGGUUUUAAAUAGUGAUACAAUUUCAGUGAAAGGAAAGGAGCCAC
rnacentral:lncRNA from 1 species